rnacentral:lncRNA from 1 species
AUUUUUUUUUAUCUUUUUCAAACUUGAUACAAAAUAAAUGGAAUACCAACAAAUAACAUCUUUCUAGUCCAUAUAACUUUACUCUCGCAUAUGCAUUUCAUAACAUAUAAUUAACGGUUGAAGAAUGCCUAACUGAGCCAUAAAUUUAUUGUCCAAUAACAACCAUUUAGAAUUGAACAACUAAGAAUUAAAAAAAUUAGGGAAAGGCCAUUUACCAUUUUUUGGAUUAAAAAAAAGAAUAUUAAUAAACUCUAUCUGUCAAAAAUCCCAACUAAUGUGGAUAAAUAAGAUGAUAGGAAUUAGGAAGUCAGAGCCCAAGAGCCCAGAGGAGGAUAAAAAGAGCAAUUUCUUUCCCAAAUAGGAAGCGAAAAAAGUCGGAUCUUCAAUUUGACUAAGCACACGUGUCAACAUUAUUACAACAUGUGAUACAAUUCAGAUAUUAAAUACAAUGUAAAUUUAAUCAAAUCCCAGCUCGAAAAAUAAAAAUAUUCGCAAAUAAAAAAGGAAAAUAUCUGAAGUGAUCGCCGCCGCUGGCCGGCCAGUAAUAUAAUAACCAGACUAGUACCAGACGAAUAGUGAACCUUAUAGUCGAACGUGCAAGCCUAAAAUUGGACAGACCCUCCUUUCUACAUAAUCAUCAUUAAUUAGUACCAUGAUUAUGAUUAGUGGUGCGAUGAUAAUCUUAAAAAGUAUUAAUGGUUGUCAUUUGUUUUCUCCUUUUUCCUUUCAAUUGUCUCGGGGAAAUAUGGUUGCGUUUUCGCUUUAACAACUAAGUAUAAUAAUAUUUUGCGCUCACUAACUUAAAAUCUUGAAUACGUAAGUAAAUGGAAGCAAACACACCUUUAUUUAGGCAUAUUCAAUAUUUCAAUUGCACUCACCAUUUUGAACUAAAAGUACAUAUUUCCUUCGUUUAGAAAAGAGAGAAUCUAUUUCCUAAUGGUUACUUUCUAAAUUUGACAAUAAAAUAACUUUAAAUAUUUUAUUUUACCCAAUUUUUGUUCUCUAUCUUAUAAGUUCAUCAUUCCUAUUGUGCCUAGUAUCUCCGUCAAAGCUAUUAUCUAACAGAACCAAGAUAAACAUACAGGUACUUCGUCAUCUGUGGAUCUUUAAGACAUUUUUCUAAUUUAUAUAGUCAUAUUACAAAUAUACAAAAGUAUCGAAAAAUUCAUUUGAUAAAGAAGAUAUUGUUUGACUCAAAAGACACUAAAACUUUUUUUGACCAAAUCAAUCAAAGAUGAAGGGGUAAAUCUUAAUUAGAGAUAAUUAACUCCAGAUCGAAACGUUAAUGAUAAUGAACGCAUAUGAGACGAAAGAAACAUGAUCGAUCUUACUCAGAUUUAACAUUAUCUACCUCACCCACUAAUGAGCACUAAUGAGAGAGUAGAUUUACAGGUGUUCGUUGAGAUCAUUUCCUCUAUUUUCUAACUAGAUGAAGCAUGUCCGUGCUCAGCACGGGCCCAACAAAGUGGUGCUGUGACAACCAAUAAAAAAACACAAAAAGGUACGGCAGAAAUGAUUGCUUACACUACAUACGAACAAAAUUUCAUAUCCAAAUUGACAGGUAUAUAGUGUAUUGCAAGAACGUUGCAUUACAAAAAAAUGUUUCCUCUGUACUUACCCUCAAGAAUCAGAAGAAGAUACAUCAUAAAAUAAAAACAAAGGAGAAAGUUUCACUAAACAGAUAUGUAUAAUUAUUUUAGUAGACAUCUUUUAGUUUCUUUCAAGCGUCGCAAUUACCCCGAAAACAUUUCCUUGCUUGGAGGCAUUUGGAGGCUCACGCAGCACAACCGGCAAGCAUAGCCAAGCCCAACCAUUACAGUCAGGAGGCGUGUGGGUGUGACANNNNNNN